GGAGGAGAUGAGUGAAUUGCCCGGUUCGGCCACCACCGAGACGGAGGACGUCGUGAGGGGAUUGGGGGAUAUUGGGAUGGUCUUGAAGAGAAGAAAUUUGAGGGACUUGUGAUAAUGUCAAACCCACAUUGCUAUUACCUCCAUAUAAAUGGCUUCCAAUGGCAGACCCUAAAUUUGGAGGAUGUCUUGCACUUUCUUGAGCCAAUGCAUCACAAAAAGCUCUAUGGGUAAUAAAAC
rnacentral:misc_RNA from 1 species